UGGCGGCGUGCCUAACACAUGCAAGUCGAACGGGAAUCUUCGGAUUCUAGUGGCGGACGGGUGAGUAACGCGUAAGAAUCUAACUUCAGGACGGGGACAACAGUUGGAAACGACUGCUAAUACCCGAUGUGCCGAAAGGUGAAACCUAAUUGGCCUGAAGAAGAGCUUGCGUCUGAUUAGCUAGUUGGUGGGGUAAAGGCCUACCAAGGCGACGAUCAGUAGCUGGUCUGAGAGGAUGAGCAGCCACACUGGGACUGAGACACGGCCCAGACUCCUACGGGAGGCAGCAGUGGGGAAUUUUCCGCAAUGGGCGAAAGCCUGACGGAGCAACGCCGCGUGAGGGAGGAAGGUCUUUGGAUUGUAAACCUCUUUUCUCAAGGAAGAAGUUCUGACGGUACUUGAGGAAUCAGCCUCGGCUAACUCCGUGCCAGCAGCCGCGGUAAUACGGGGGAGGCAAGCGUUAUCCGGAAUUAUUGGGCGUAAAGCGUCCGCAGGUGGUCAGCCAAGUCUGCCGUCAAAUCAGGUUGCUUAACGACCUAAAGGCGGUGGAAACUGGCAGACUAGAGAGCAGUAGGGGUAGCAGGAAUUCCCAGUGUAGCGGUGAAAUGCGUAGAGAUUGGGAAGAACAUCGGUGGCGAAAGCGUGCUACUGGGCUGUAUCUGACACUCAGGGACGAAAGCUAGGGGAGCGAAAGGGAUUAGAUACCCCUGUAGUCCUAGCCGUAAACGAUGGAUACUAGGCGUGGCUUGUAUCGACCCGAGCCGUGCCGAAGCUAACGCG
rnacentral:rRNA from 1 species